UUUCAUUCCCUAAUAUGACCUGUGGAAAUAAUAAUGAAAAUCCCCCUGAGUAGCCGUGACCGCAGUUUUUCAUCUGUGAUGCAGAAGAUCUUCAGCAAACAUUAGGACCUGACUGCUGGAACAGUACCCAUGUGAACACGCAUCUGUCCUGGAAGUUAGUUCUUCAUCUCAGCCUUGAUCGAGCUCCCAGUGGCCAUUCUGCAAACAUUAGCAGAGUUGCUGUUUGCAGUAUUUGCUUCUAAAAAGUUCUGAGUGCUGUUUUUUUCAUCCAGAGGAAGAUGCAUGGCUUAGGGGAGAAAGGGAGCUCUUUUCCUGAAGGCUGGUGCCCAGUAUUGAUAAAAUUUGUUAUUGAAAUUGAUUGUGACUGCAGGCCUGCUCGAAGUCAGGGAUGUUUUUAUAGAAUAAGAAAUGUGUUUUUCUUAUAUGUUACUACCGGAAGAGCAUUGCUUGUUGCAGCUGUCUGUAGGAUUUCAGAGUAAUUGUGGAAGGUACUGGCUUGAUUUCUUUUUGUUUGCUUUCCCAGCUGUUCCCCACUACAUGCUAAAUGGGUUCUGUAACCUAAGGGAACACAGCAGUGGAUGAAAGAAAGCGGCUAGAGGGAGAGAGGAAGAACUGAGGGAAUGUUUCAGGAUGCACCUGAAGUGAACGAUAUUGCUGAGUGGUGAGGUGGCAGGUGGCCAUCUGCUCACUACCUGGUCCUCUCUGGUUGACCUUAGAUUAGUUCUCCAUGGCUUUCUCCUAGAGCCUGUUAGAGCUGUUGGAGAGGGAAGAAAUCCUCCAUGAACUGAUUCACGGGUGCUUGCUCUUUUAUAUCAGACUUUGUCUGUCUCUCAUAGUAGGUUGCUAAAGCUAGUCUUGCAUCUCCUGUCCUUAUCCCAGAGCAAAUGCUAAUAGACCCAGUGUCUCUGUGCUGCUGACACAGGCAGAGGGUCCUUGAAAGCAGGCAGUGACAAUGCAGAGCUGGCAUUUUCCACUAGGUCUGCUAAUUAAUUAAGGUCACAUGUUCUAGCUAUUAGUUUGGCCAUCGCUUCUCUCCAUUAGGCAGGCAGUGAAAUGACAGGGCAGGAGCAGGAGCAUUCUUCCCUCAGCAUGGCGCCACCAAAAGACCUGGGCGAUGGUUGUGGGGUGCUGUUGAGCCACAGUGCUGCUGUUAAAGGUGUCUGUGGUAAAGGUGCAUCUUUAACAUUGAAGAAAAUACUUCUGAACUGGAAUUGUUCCUGGGAUGUGCAUUUCGUCUCUGCUGUGCUAAAUCAGGCAUUGUGUGAACACCAUAACAGGAUCCUUCUUGGAAGAGGUUGCGGGCUGUCCCUUGCUCCCUCUGGCUGUGGGAUGUUGUUCCUGUACAGUUGGAAAAUGGAAAUGAGAAAGAUCAGGUCAUUAAUGGAAUAUCCUAUUUAAAACUUUUGUUCCCACAACUGUAUUUACUCAUGAUCUCCUAUCAGAGCAAAAAAGUGUCUUUCCAUUUUAUGAAAAAACUGAACUGAGAGUGAGCAACUUUUCUGAGUACAGCUUUGCUGCCUGGCAUUAUCAGACAGCCUGAUGUUAGUCUCUCCUGCCUUUCUUGCUUUUAUAUAGACUGGGGUUUGAUGCUGGAGCAUCAGUGUGCAGAGUACUUUCUCUC